GACCGCGUAGCUCAGUUGGCAGAGCAUUGGGCUAGUAUUCCAAAGGUCGUAGGUUCGAUUCCCACCGGGGCCG
rnacentral:tRNA from 1 species